rnacentral:rRNA from 1 species
AAAUUGAAGAGUUUGAUCAUGGCUCAGAUUGAACGCUGGCGGCAGGCCUAACACAUGCAAGUCGAACGGUAGCACAGAGAGCUUGCUCUCGGGUGACGAGUGGCGGACGGGUGAGUAAUGUCUGGGAAACUGCCUGAUGGAGGGGGAUAACUACUGGAAACGGUGGCUAAUACCGCAUAACGUCGCAAGACCAAAGAGGGGGACCUUCGGGCCUCUUGCCAUCAGAUGUGCCCAGAUGGGAUUAGCUGGUUGGUGAG